UCCGGGCAGUCCUCGUUCCUGUUUUUUCAGAGGAAAAAGAUCCACUUUCAGGGACGGGGUGGUGCCUGUGGCCAGCCUGGACCAGCGCUGAGGGGAAGGACGGAUUCAGGCAAGGCAUUGCGCGUCUGUGGGACACACCCUGUCGGGGGACACCGGCCAGGGCAGCGUGGCCUCCACUGCGCGGUGUUAUGACGCCCCGCCGUCCUCACUUCUUCACCAGCCUCUAACGUUCAAACCCCAGUUCUUUCGGACUUUGCAGGAGCUCUAGUGAGGAAUUGUGAACAAUGACUCAUCCAAUCUAGUGUCUACAUUGGUGUCGACAUGGUACCUAGCACCAGGAGACUGGAUGAGAUCACGAAAAACGCGAGUAUAGAUUGAAGAAAGAUUCAAAGGCCCCUGUAAGGAGAGAAUACGAACCUGAGCAGUUUAAACGGCUGCAGACUCCGCGCAGGCGCAGGAGGAGGUUUGACGCCUACGGACGAACGUGAUAGAGUGGGCGGAAGCCGACUGAGAAGACUCAAUUUGUCUGGCCAAUGUUUCCUUUGGGAAAUGGCUUCGUUCCGCCUGUGGACUCACACUGUGGCGUGUCUGCAAACACUGCUGUGGUUUCUGUGGAGCUGUGUGUAUUAGGUCCGACUUCGCUGUUUGCUGGAAUGAGGAGCAGAGACCCCAAACGCACAGGAAGAACAGGCUGGCAUCGCCUCGGCCUGCCUCGUGCUGGAGAAGAGACCACACACACUUGGCCUGGGUUCAGCAAAUCGCAACUCUUUAAGAUGGAAUAACUUAGAGUUUAAGACAUAUCAAAAGUGUAAACAUAGUUGCUGACCUGAGUAGUUUUUAUGGGGGGAGGUAAUCCUUUGAGAGAAUUCAUCUAUCUAUACCUUAUGAUUUGUGCAAUUUUCUAUAUGAAUGUUAUGUAUCAAUAAAACAUUUGAAAAUGAAAA